rnacentral:rRNA from 1 species
UACGUAGGGUGCAAGCGUUGUCCGGAAUUAUUGGGCGUAAAGAGCUCGUAGGCGGUUUGUUGCGUCGGCUGUGAAAUCCCGAGGCUCAACCUCGGGUCUGCAGUCGAUACGAGCAAACUAGAGUGUUGCAGGGGAGACUGGAAUUCCUGGUGUAGCGGUGAAAUGUGCAGAUAUCAGGAGGAACACCGGUGGCGAAGGCGGGUCUCUGGGCAACAACUGACGCUGAGGAGCGAAAGCGUGGGGAGUGAACAGG